UCUCUGGUAGUAUAUCGGUUAGUACACGCGCCUGUCAACGCUGUCAAGAAAGGAGCUGUUUCGCGCGAAAGCUGGGUUCAACUCCCAGCCAGAGAG